rnacentral:rRNA from 1 species
UACGUAGGGUGCGAGCGUUGUUCGGAAUUACUGGGCGUAAAGGGCUCGUAGGCGGCCAACUAAGUCGGAUGUGAAAUCCCCAGGCUUAACCUGGGAACUGCAUCCGAUACUGGAUGGCUUGAAUCCGGGAGAGGGAUGCAGAAUUCCAGGUGUAGCGGUGAAAUGCGUAGAUAUCUGGAGGAAUACCGGUGGCGAAGGCGGCAUCCUGGACCGGCAUUGACGCUGAGGAGCGGAAAAGCUAGGGGAGCAAACGGG